rnacentral:lncRNA from 1 species
GGGAUGAAGAAGGCACCGGAGAGAAGUGUGGUGAAGCCGCGGAAAGAUUUGCCGGAAACAGUUCUCUCUCGGAGGGGCUGUUUACGUGCAAGGGCAAAAAUGUCAUUUUCACAGUGUCAAACCAUAGUGAAAAUGAAACCAACAGAACGGGCUCGACGAGACGAAGAAUUGGGCUUUGGAAUCACCUCAUUUGAAGUUGUGAGCAAAAAGUUAUAAGGGUUUUUCUGCCAGGGACUUAUCUGUAAUAAAAUCAUCACAAACAGGCCCUUAGCAGGAAAAACAGAAUGCGCCUUUUCUGAAAAUACGUUUUCCAGAAGGGAAAACGCAUUCUCGCACGAGGAAGAAGUUGAAUGCGCUUUUGUUAAGCGAAUACGUACUCCACAGAGUACGCCUCCACUUAACCAUGUUAGCAGGCCGGCCCGGUUAGCGCAGAGAGGCCGACAGGCGGGGCCCAGGGACGGGGUCAACGUCGUCUUCGCCUCGCCCGCACUCGCCCGCAGUCCAGAAGGAGGUCGCCGGCGCGGGGGCUCGUCCGGCCGGCUCCGGCCAUCCCCCGCCUCGCUCGACCUAUGGGCGAGCUCAGAAGGAGUGGCUGCACCCGUCUGCGGAGAGCACGGGCUCCGGGGAGGACCGAGGCGAGAGGGAGCGAGGACAUGGCGGACGGUGGCGACGGGCACCGACGGGGCUCGCGGCCAACAGCCACCAGAGGAGGAGGGAGGGGGCUCGGGAGGCUCCGGGGUGUGGAUGGGGGCCUCUGGAGGUGGAAUCAGGAGGGGAGGAGAUCGGGGCUGCUCGGAUUCGAGCGGAGCACCGCGGCGGCUACGGUGGCCAUGGGCAGCGAAGAGAGCUCUUUAAGCUCGGGAGAGUGAUUGGGGAGGGAGCUGGGAAUGAGGGAAGGCUUCUGGUGUG